UACAGAGGUCUCAACCGUUGUUCGGAUUCAUUGGGCGUAAAGGGUGCGUAGGCGGUCGUGCAAGUCGGAUGUGAAAUCUCAGGGCUCAACCCUGAAACUGCAUUCGAUACUGCGUGGCUAGAGUGCUGGAGAGGAGACUGGAAUUUACGGUGUAGCAGUGAAAUGCGUAGAUAUCGUAAGGAAGACCAGUGGCGAAGGCGGGUCUCUGGACAGUUCCUGACACUGAGACACGAAGGCCAGGGGAGCAAACGGG
rnacentral:rRNA from 1 species